UAUAAAACCCCUGACAAUAAAAUAUGGGAUAGAAAAAGCAGGAAACAAACCACAAUAUAACACUUUCAUAAUUCAACAGAAUUACAAACAGAAGUCUACGGCCAACAGCCUACACAAGACCGGCUCUUAAAAAGGAAUUGUCCUACGACCUACAAGUCGGACACAUUCUCCAGUCUUAUUACUUCACGUCUGCAACUCCUCAAGGCCAACCAAAGCUAUCUGGUCACUCCGUCCACCAGGGACCUGAAAUUUUAAUCCCACAACCGAGAUGAGACGAUGUCUCAGCAAGUUCAACCCCCUAAACCCCUAUUAGAAAGAAAAUACGCCCCGGGUGGCCUAGCCACAUCACACAGAGGACUUACCUCGCCUCAGCCUUUAUCUGCAGAUUAGCACAAUUUAUAUGAACCAACCACGUGCAAUUAUGAUAACCAAACAACCAUGGCACAAUCAUAUUAUCAAACCAUUCAACCACUUGGAUCGUCUCAGCGAUCAAUCAACUCGGCCGAUUAUAUGUCAUUCUAGCAAAUCAAUCAUUGCUCUCAACUACGGCCCUACUCGGCAAAUUUGAAUCAGUGGCAUCACGGCCCCACUCGGCGCGACCUUUAACAGGUGGCAAUUCACGGCCCCAUUGGGCGCGACCUCUAAUAGGUGGCAUAUCACGGCCUCAUCGGGCACGACCUCUAAUAGGUGGUUUAUCACGGUCUCACUGGGCACGACCUCUCAUAGGUGGUUUAUCAUGGCCUCACUGGGCACGACCUCUCAUAGGUGGUAUUUCACGGCCUCAUCGGGCACGACCUCUAUUAGGUGGUAUUUCACGGCCUCAUCGGACACGACCUCUUGUAGGUGGUAUUUCACGGCCUCAUCGGGCACGACCUCUUGUAGGUGGUAUUUCACGGCCUCAUCGGGCACGACCCUUCCUAGGUGGUUAAUCACGGCCUCAUCGGGCACGACCUUUCCUAGGUGGUAUUUCACGGCCUCAUCGGGCACGACCUCUAAUAGGUGGUCAAUCACAUCCAAUCUCCCAUCAAUUUCUACACUUAGGGUUUCAUAAAGAAUCCAUAUAAAUCGCAAUCACACUCAAUUCAUCACAACCAAUCAUCAAUAUCAAAUUCUAAAUACACAGCAACGAUCAGCACGAAAUUAUGGGAGAAUAAGGUUCCAGAAUAAUUUUUCGGAAUUUAUUAAAUAAUUAAAUUUAUUCCGAAAUUAAUUAAAUAAUAAUAUUCAUAUUUUUCAUGAUCCACGCUCAAUUUAUAAUAUCCAAUCAUCAAUUUCAAAAUCCAACUACACAGCAGCGACCGGCACGAAAUUCUGAGCAACCGGGGUCAAAAAUAAUUUUUCCGUUUUUUUUUUUUCAAAUAAUAAUAUUUUAAUAAUUUCGGAAUAUAAUAUAAUAUUAUAAAUUCCAGAAUUCGAAAUCAUUAAAUAAUUCAAAAGUAAAACCCUAUUAUGUCACAUCAAGGCUUUAUAUUAAAAUAAACAUACUUAACUUUAAACUAAACACACUUCAACUUAAUUAAGCAUCUUAAUAUAAUCCUCAACCAAAUAAACUAAUCUAACCACCUAAACUUACUUAACUUAAAAUAAGCACACUUAGGGCAUCAUUAACCGUCUAAUCAAGGUUUAGUGAGUUAAACUCACCGGAUUAGCGAGCCGAGCGGACCAAAACCACGGGGACGACGCGAGGAUCGACUUUCCUCAAAGCGGGCCGAGCAUCCGGGCUCGGGAAGGCGGCCAAAAUGGGCCAAGCAUGGGCUGCCAUACCCAUUUUCUGGGUUGCUGAUCAGGGCCGAGAGGGAGCAGAUCCGACGCCGGUUUAGGUCGGAAACGGGCGGAGGGACGGGGCGGCAGCUCGACGAUGGCUCGGACGGGCGAGGCGGUGGCCAGGCGAGGCCUCCCGGCGGCGAGGACGAGCUCCGGCAGCUCCUGAAACACGCGAGUAGGGGCAGACGGAGGCGGCAGUCCAGGCGAGGCGCGUGCGGGGCGACGCACGGGCGCGCGGGUGCGGGACGACACAGGCGGCGGCGAGCUCCGGCGACGGGCGUGCGGCGUCGAGCUCGGCUGGUCCCGGUCAGCUGCUGCAAGAGAUCUCAGAUCUACUGGGGAAACGGGCUAAGGCGGAGCGGCGAGCUGGUCGGCGAGCGAGCGGACGGCACAAACGGUGGCGGCGAGCGGCGGAGGGGCCGACGGACGGAGCUAGGGGCUGCUGCAUUCAGCUUCUUCCAUUGCUGGGCGUGCGAAGAAGGAGAAGAAGAUGGAGAGAGCUGAAGAAGUCGCACGGUUGGGAGGAAGAAGAGAGGGAGGAGAGAGAAGAAGG
rnacentral:lncRNA from 1 species